CCCUCUUUUAUGAGAUAUGUUUAAACGUCUCUGAAAUUAGUUUAAAAAAUGUCCAGUCCAAAAAUGUCUCACAUUAUCAGAUCAUUAAAGAAAGAAGCUUUACAGUAGAAGUUGUGCCAAGCUAAUAAAAAUGUUCUGUACUCAGGCUAUGCUUUAAUCUUCCUUGUAAUUACAGGGAGAGAUGCUUACUAUUUAAUAUCAUCUAUGAAUGAACUGAGAGCAGAUUUAUCACGAGACAUUGUUUAUCAGGUAACCUAGCCAUUGCUGGUCUCAUGUUUUUAUUUUUCAUUAAUCAUGGCAGCAGAAGAGACACAGACAGGUGAGCUCUGAUCUCAUAAUGAAAAUAUUUUGCCAUUGGUUCAGGAGCUGAAUUAAAAUUCAUGCAGGAACAUGUUUUUGAUGGUAGACUUAAACAUCACUCUGUUAUCAAACUCCUUCCCUGUGGUUUAUCAUAUCAUGAAAGUGAAAGUUCAGAGCUACAGGACCUCAGGUGUGGCUUUAAAAUAGCUGACAGCAGCUUCUAUGGUGGGUAUAUUAAAUGUGUUCUGGCGGCCUAGCACACAUGGAAUGAAGUCAUAAACUGCAUCCAUCGAGGAGCACGGGGUGCACUGCAGAGUGAAACAAUGCUGGCUUUGUGUGAUGUUGUGAUUUUGAUUUUUUUUUUUUUUUUACAUCAAGAUGGUGAAACUGCAAAAUGAAAGCAUUCCUUCACAGAGCUGUGUUUAAGAAGCUUUUACUGCAGUAGUUACAGUAAAUGUAGCCCAGACAUGUUCUGUUGUAUCUGUUGUAAUCUUCUUGUUUGAUAUUUGUCUUAUGCUUCUGAGUAUUUUCCUUUCUCACAUCUUUCGCCUGUUCUGUGUGAGUUGCCUUCAUGUUUCUACAUCCUUCCGGUUUUAUUUUUUUUUUACAGUGCUUUGGAGAAGUAUUUCCCUCCUCUCUGAAUUCAUGAAUUCAUAAAAUCAAGAAAUGAAUCAAGAAUUAUUUAAAUAGAACCUGACAACAAUCUCAAAAAAUACACAAUCUAAAUAAACUUAAGAACAGAUGAGAAACACAGUUAUAUACAUUUAUUAAUCUAAUUUUUGUUUAACCAAGAAGUCUAACUUCUUGGAAGGUUUGAUUGCCGUUAAAUCUGGUGUAAAACGAACAGCAUUUCAUUUAAAGACCAAUAUACCAGCAUCAGAAUUAUGAUGCUUAAAUGCUCUCCAACGCGUUUUAAUUAAAACAAUUCUACCAAGAAGAUUCCUUCACGGUGAUGUGAAAGACUCACAGUCAGUUAUACCAAACUCUUGACUGCAGUUUUUGUUGCCAAUAGUGGCACAAGCAGUUAUUAGGCGUAGGGGCCAUUUCACUUUCACACAGGGCCAGGUGGGUUUGGAU
ensembl:lncRNA